GUGGGAACUCCAGACGUGUUCAAAGAUGACAUGUCACAAAGAUCAUAUUGCCCACACAUACAGGAACCCCCUACCAUGAACCAGUCAGCUGCAGAACUUGGGAGAGACUCAUCAUACUGAAAUUGGCAUUAGUGCCUCUCUAUGGACUAUCACACUAAAAAUAGAUCCAUCUCCUUUUUCCAUGUCUGAGCUGAAGUCUAAAUAAUUCCCAGAGCCUUAGUUUGAUGGAAAUCCUUUAGCAGGUUGCUGUUGUCCCACAGCCUACCUGGGGUGGUCUGCUGCCAUAUCUGCAUCAGGCACAUUAGGAAGUUGCUGGGACCAGUAAACUCUCCUCUUGAGCAAUGAUUUUUUUCAUGAAGAAGGUGCACAAGAGUUUUGUAACACUGUUUGCAGGCCCGCCUGCAGGGAGUGGGAGAGACCUGUCUGAAUCUGGAGAUCAGCAGUGAAAACACUGCUUUC
rnacentral:lncRNA from 1 species